rnacentral:rRNA from 1 species
CAGUCGAACGGAAGAUAUCGGCGACGAGAUUUCGGUCAAAUCAAGUGUAUCUUUAGUGGCGGACGGGUGAGUAACGCGUGGGUAACCUGCCAUAUACAGGGGGAUAACACUUAGAAAUAGGUGCUAAUACCGCAUAAGCGCACAUGGCCGCAUGGCCAGGUGUGAAAAACUCCGGUGGUAUAUGAUGGACCCGCGUCUGAUUAGCUAGUUGGUGAGGUAGCGGCCCACCAAGGCGACGAUCAGUAGCCGGCCUGAGAGGGUGGACGGCCACAUUGGGACUGAGACACGGCCCAAACUCCUACGGGAGGCAGCAGUGGGGGAUAUUGGACAAUGGGGGGAACCCUGAUCCAGCGACGCCGCGUGAGUGAAGAAGUAUCUCGGUAUGUAAAGCUCUAUCAGCAGGGAAGAAAGAAAUGACGGUACCUGAGUAAGAAGCCCCGGCUAACUACGUGCCAGCAGCCGCGGUAAUACGUAGGGGGCAAGCGUUAUCCGGAAUUACUGGGUGUAAAGGGAGUGUAGACGGUGAUGUAAGUCUGGAGUGAAAGGCGGGGGCCCAACCCCCGGACUGCUCUGGAAACUAUAUGACUGGAGUGCAGGAGAGGUGAGCGGAAUUCCUAGUGUAGCGGUGAAAUGCGUAGAUAUUAGGAGGAACACCAGUGGCGAAGGCGGCUCACUGGACUGUAACUGACGUUGAGGCUCGAAAGCGUGGGGAGCAAACAGGAUUAGAUACCCUGGUAGUCCACGCCGUANACGAUGAUCACUAGGUGUGGGUGGGNAUGGACCCAUCGGUGCCGCAGCAAACGCAGUAAGUGAUCCACCUGGGGAG